rnacentral:rRNA from 1 species
AUUGAACGCUAGCGGGAUGCUUUACACAUGCAAGUCGAACGAGUGGCGGACGGGUGAGUAAUAUAUCGGACCGUGCGCUGUAGCGGGGGAUAAAUACUCGAAAGAGUGGCUAAUACCGCAUACUCUUGGAGCGGCCGAUAGCGGAGUAGCUAGUUGGUGGGGUAAAGGCUCACCAAGGCAACGAUCCGUAGCUGGUGUGAGAGGACGACCAGCCACACUGGGACUGAGACACGGCCCAGACUCCUACGGGAGGCAGCAGUGGGGAAUUUUGGACAAUGGGGGAAAGCCUGAUGCAGCCAUCCCGCGUGUAUGAGAAGGCCUUCGGGUUGUAAAGUACUUUCAGUCGGGAGGCGUUACCGACAGAAGAAGCACCGGCUAACUCCGUGCCAGCCGCCGCGGUAAUAC